ACCUACCAGAGGUGUGAACAUGCCUUGGUGAUUUUUCAACUCCAAGUUAAGAAAAUAUCUCACCAGGAUAUGAAAAGAGGCUUAGUUUCUUAGUAAAUCAAAUAUAUCUCACUGGAUUCUGAGAUCAGGGAAUUAAGAAUCAACACGAUGCUAAGAUAUGAAACCUUCUGGAUGAUACAAAACUGCCUACAGGCAAGACUCAGCGCCAUUGAAUGAAUCAAAAGAAUGUACUUGGAGUUUGUAUUAUUGCUUCAGACAUGCCAAACAUUUGAGCCUAUCUACUCUCAGAUUAUCAUCAUGGACCCUCCAUAAAAGUGACCCUUACUCAACUCUGGUUUGGAAAAAGAUGGUCCUCCAUCUGACCUCUCAUAAGAAGUAUUCCUGCCCAGAUGAAAUGAAGGUACUCAUAGAGCCUGAUUGCCGUGAUUUCAGACGACGAUCAGUUGACAAGGAAAGAGAAUCCUAAAGUUCCUGACCUUUCAGGAAGUGUACUGGAUGUGAGGACACCCGAGAACAAUUGCCUACUGGAUCCAAGUUCCACAUGGGUGUGGAAAAUCUCUUAAGACCCCUUACUUGAUGGCACGGCUGGUUUAGGAGUCCACUGUCAGGUACUACUUGAAAUAUUUAAUGUUUCUUGGAAAGGUGUUAUCUUGAUUAACCCGGCUCUCCACGAAAGGCAACCCUGGGCCAGGAGACAUGCGUCAGUGAGGGACCACCCUCCCCCCCCCCCCGCCCCCUUCCCUCUACCCCCAACCCCUCCACUAUAGCUCGUUAGU